rfam:Gossypium raimondii Chr02_contig_244, whole genome shotgun sequence.
UGUUAACAAUUUUAUUAAUUUUUAUAAUUAAAAAUUGGAAUUUAUGACGGAAUAACUAGCAGUGACAUGUGGUCUGCCAUGUGUACCUCAUGCUGACGUACAUAAACUAGUUUUUAAUAGUAAAAAUAGAUGAAAUUUUUAAGCA